GUAUCAAACGAUGAACUGCCGAAGACAGUAGGUACCAUUUGGUGUAAGCACAGCGCCUACCGAGGAAGAAUCGUAUGUUUGACGUUUCGCUCUAUGUCUUUGGAUAUAGAGCUUUUCUUAUAUUUAG
rfam:Clostridium sp. CAG:590 genomic scaffold, scf156